rnacentral:ncRNA from 2 species
UUCUUAUCAAGAGCGGCGGAGGGAUAGGCCCUAUGAAGUCCGACAACCGACAUUUUGUGCAUCGGUGUCAAUUCCUACAGAGUGUGUUAAUACUCUGAAAGAUAAGAA